AAAGCAAAGGACAUAACGUGUCAUCGUUGUGCAAAAAAGUGUCAUUUCCAAAGGAUGUGCCGAAAGCAGAAAUCUCAAACCAUGGGCGUGAAGACAGCAAGCCAGAAGGAAAACAAGAACGAAGGAGAAUAAAUUCAAUCGGAGUAAAACACAAGAGGUGGACCAAAGACUAUCAGAUAGGCGGACAGAUAGUUACAUUUAAGCUAGACAGCGGAUCCGAUGUAAACUGCAUUCAAAGAAAUCUACUUGAAAAACUU